AGUCUGAACGUUUAGCGAGUGCUGCCUCUAAAGAGAGCAAUCACUACACUUACGGCUGAGACUUUGCGCUUAGUAGUUCAGAGGCCCCCAGGCAGACUACAGACCGUGACAAAAGGUGUAGAGUCUCAUUUGUACAGAUUGGAUUCGUCACAAAUUCACCAGAUCAAAAAUUCCAGAUAAAGUGUUUCACGCCUCACCUGAAGAUCAUGAAAAAUAUGGUGGGGAUCCACAGAACCCUCAUAAACUGCAUAUUGUUACCAGAAUAAAAAGUACAAAAUACGUCCAUAUUGGGAAAAAGAUAUAAUAAAGAAGCUUGGAUUGGAAAAAUCACAUAUCCCUCAAGUUCACCAGAAUUCCCUUCAGUGAAUGCAAAAUUGAAAGUGGUUAAGCAUUUGAUAAGAAUUGAAGUUGCCACAAGGACUUCCAACAGAGGAGAACAUGUCUAACACAUGCCUCAAAAGCACUGGGGAGUUAGUAGUGCAGUGGCAUCUGAAACCUGUGGAGUAGAAAGCACAUGAGUCCUAGUGCCCUAGCAGCUUCCGAUUGGAAAAUGCAAAUUGUUUUUAUUUAAAGAUGAUACCUGGUGGGGUGGGGAGAAGUAAGAAUUGUAAGGGAGGUUCAAUAGUGGGAAAUUCUGUGACAGCUGAUUGAAGAUGAUGAUGAAGAACCUCUGCAUUCUAGUUACCCUUUGCUUUCCUUUGCCUCUUGUAAAAUUUGGCUUGGCAACAAUGACAUUGCCAUGCUUACUGUCCCAAUAUCCAUCCUGUCAUAGAUCUUAAUGUUUUUGAUCAUUGCAUUAAAGUGGAAGUGCCACCCACAGUGAAACCAGAUCCCAUAAAUAAAUAAGCUUAAAGGCAAAAAAAAAAAAAAACCAAAAAAAACUCUGAUCCCGAAUGCUCGGGGAGACUGAUUUGAACAAUAAUUAAACUCUGGUCUCCCACACAGCAGGAUCU
rnacentral:lncRNA from 1 species